rnacentral:rRNA from 1 species
UACGAAGGGAGCGAGCGUUGUUGGGAAUUACUGGGCGUAAAGCGCACGUAGGCGGGCUAUUAAGUCAGGGGUGAACUCCCGGCGCUCAACCUCGGAAUUGCCUCUGAGACUGGCAGCCUUGAGUUCGGGAGAGGUUGGUGGAAUUCCUAGUGUAGAGGUGAAAUUCGUAGAUAUUAGGAAGAACACCAGUGGCGAAGGCAGCCAACUGGGCCGUCACUGACGCUGAUGCGCGAAAGCGUGGGGAGCAAACAGG